AUAAACCGGAGAAAAGUGACAAAAGCUAUUAUUAAUGCAAACUUAAUUUGAAAUCACAAGUUUCUGAGAUUAAUCAUUAAAUUUGUUGGUAUACUGUUUUGUCGUUGAGUUUCGCAUCUGCAUGUGCCGCUACCCCGUCAGUGCAUUUCAUACAUUCUCAAAAUCUUCUCUUUUCGCUCUUUCAGAAUCUUUUAAGUGAUUCUAGGACUGACCUUUUGAAAAUGAAAUAUUUAUUAUAUUUUAAAUUAGUAGUAUUUAGUAUUAUAUUUUAAACUUUUAACGCGCAGUUUGGGUUUCAAAGUUCAAAAUAACUUUCGGACGCAAUUAAAAAAUGACUUUAAAUAUGUCUUAAAGUUGAAUACAUAAAUUUUUAAUUUUUAUAAUAUAAUUAGAAAAUAGUAAUAUACGUAUUUAGUAUGUUUGUACAUAUUAUAUUUGUCUUUUUCUGAUGAGUUAUGUAUUUUUUAAAUUGAAUUCUAACUUAUUUAUUAUUGAGGUGUACACUUUUUACUUUUCCAUUUUGUCCUGGGGUGCGUCAUUUGGCUCGCUCUCGUUGCUCUGUCGACAUUGCUGUUUCCUACGCUCUCCCUUUGUUUGUUGCAUUUGGGUGGGGUUGCUUUUUGUUGUUGGACGAGGGGUACUCAAUUUUUUCAACUAACAGGACACACUAGCGUUUUCCAUUGACAGGAAUAGGGUGUUAGGUUUGGUAAGGACGAGUUUUGUGUUUAUUUGGUGUUCUGCCUUUUGAUUUUAAAGUAUAAUAUUUGGUUUAAACCUAUUUAGGUUUAGACAACUAAAAACGUUGGAUUGGAAAUUUAUUUAAAUUUGUAAAAAGCUUUUUUCUAUCUGUAUACUAACGUUUUUGAAAAGUAAAAAGUUUCCAGUGACCAAUUACCUGAAAUUCUUAUUUUAAAGUAUGGUUUUAGCUCGAUUUAAGAUUUUUAUGAGCUGAGUUCGAAUGGAACUUUGCUCUCUCCACAGCUCUCUUUUCGUCUGCAAUCUGCACAACUACUAGUACCAAUAAUAAAAAGCUAAUGGCGUUGCCAACGACUGUAAGACUGGCAGUCUUUUCGCUUCGUUGCGAGUCCCAAUUCAAACUUUAAUGCAAUGUAUGUACACUUGAUCACACACAGACACGCUUUUAUAAUUAGAACCGCAAUAUAAAGUGCAUUUACUAACAGAGAUGCAAAAAAAUACAGUAAGUUUUAAAAGUUGGUGUUGUAAGCAGUAGCAAAAUAGAGGAUAGAGACAACUAUGAAUUUUUUAAUUCGGUCAUCACAUAUACAUAUGCAUGUGCAUACGGUUGGUUUUCGCGUGCAUGCACAUAUAUGUAUGAAACGUACUUACAUUGCUGUUUGCUUUUGUUUAUUGUCUUUACUUAUUCCAUUGACUGCAUACUACAUUUUGAUUUUAAAUAUUCAACUGGUAAAAUAAAAUGAUUCUGAUCCCAUCAAGUAGUUAUAUUCUUAACUGGGAGUAGGGAUCAAGUUGAAUGAGCUAUAUGUCCAUCCGUUUAAAUGUCGGGAUCCUAGGAAAUAUAAAUGCUAGAAAAUUAGAUUAGAUAUGCAGAUUCCAAAAACGUAUGUAGAUCCAGCGAAAGUUGGUUUCCGUAUGUUGCCACCGCCCAAAACUCCCACGCCCACACUUCUCCCUACCCCGACUGAUUAUCUGGUAUCUGAUCGUCGAGGAAAUCGAUUAUUGCAUUCUCUCUUGUUUAAAUUAUGAUUGUUGUACGGAUAAUUUUAAAUAAGCAUUUAUUACAAUUUGAUUCUGAUGCACUAAUCAAAGUUGUUUUUUAAUUUUCACCUUAUCAAAGACAGCCUCGACUUUAAUCAAACGAAUGAAAACAAUAUAGGAAAACAUGUCAAAUGCGCAAAUAUGUUCACGCGCCUCAGUAAUGAUUCACUUUUUGCGUCUGCCAAAUCCAGUCAAGAACUGCGGGGGAAAUCUAUAGUUUUCUGAAUCUUUUUUAGGUAAUUCAGGUGUAUACAAUUUUCAUAGUUUAAAUGAUUAUAAGGUAAGAAGGUAGAAGAACAUAUGCUGCAUUAAUGGGAAAAAGUAUUUAUUUAACACUUAAGUACACACAGUUGUAGCGAAUGUAAGUCGAGGGAAUUUAUUUGUAAUGCAAUAUUCAAAAUUUUUAAAACAUCUUUUAGUGAACUACCUAUAAGAACUGUUCAAUAACAAUUUAUUUAGAUGAUCACAGUUGCACAUUGCAUUUCAUAGUUUGGCUAUGUCCUCUUGUCCCCUGCCCUGUUUAUAUUUAAAUGGCAAAAAUCCUCUGCCAAGUCCCAGUUCAUGUCACAUCAUAUAAAGUGUUUUGCCCCUGCAACGCAUGGGAUAAUUAAUUCUGAGAUCAGUAAUGGAAGCUGGGAGCCAACUUAUGGCAUAUGUCGCGUCAUAUUUUGGGACAUGAAUAUAGUUAAUCCGUAGCUGGAGGUAAUGUGUGUGGAGUGCAUUGGCACAAUGCUUCAGGGAUCGUUAAUCUAAAAUCCCAUAUGCUGUGUGAUUUUAGUUGAAAGUCAAAAUUUUUGUACGCCAAAUUUCAAGAUAUAGUAAAUAUCUUGGAAAUAUAUGAAAUAUAUUGUUGGUAUUUGUUAACCUACUUUCAGUAGUUUAAUUUUGAAAAAAAUAAUAUUUUUGUUAAAUUGUUUCGAUAUUUUGAAUUGAAGCUAAAGGGGCCAAACUGUGUUAAUUUUUAUACUUGUUGGGUUUUAUUUGUAAAAGCUUAAAAUCUAUAGAUACAUUUGAUUGAAAGUUAUUGAAAUGAAACUGUCAAUGUACGGUUGCUUAACCACCGAAUUUGAGUUCCGAUAAGAGUUCUGAAUAUCAGAAUCACUGUCUAUUUUUUCUUAAGCUUGGGGCCAAUGGAAAAAAAUUAGAAUAGAAGCGUUGCUGUUUCCCAUCUAUUUUCCACGGACUGCUUCCUGUUUAUUUUUCAUUUUUAAACUAGUGUUCGUGUACUGGCUAACAAACUUUGCCAGGUGUUUUAUUACCACUUGGGCCAUUACCAAUUUCUUCUGUCUGUGCAAAAAAUUGUUGUCUGCUUGCUGUUCAUUCUUUUCGUAUCGCACAUUUCACAUUAUGAAUUUGCUAGUUUGCCUUCAAUUUUCCAUCCCCAUUUUUUCUUUCAUCGUGCAACUGUUUUUUUUAAUAGCUUAGCUUUGAGUAUUUCGUUUUAUAGUCAGAAUUCAGGUGCGAGUUGGCAAAGAAAGCUAGUCAAUUUCAUGGCGCGGCUCUGUUCUAAUGUUAGUAACCAAAUGUAAUGCGGUUGCUUUCUAAAUUUAUUUAUUUCUUUUUUUAUUCAAUUCCAAAAUUCAUCUUUGGUUGAUUUUUAAGCUUUCACAAAAAAAAGGUUAUGUAAAAUAGUGGUAAAAGAUUCGCUUUUGGAAUUUUUAUAAAAACGUGUAUAUUUAAAUUUUGUUGUUUCUAGCAGGAAAUGUACCAUUUCUCAAAAAUUAAAAGUUAACGUGGCAUUCUAUGCUUAGUGUUUUAAUUUUGUAUCAAUAGGUUAGUCCACUUUGACGGUCUGUUUGAUUUCGGAAAUCUCUGCUAUGCUGGAUAGAGUGUUGGGAAUUCAUAUUCCAAUUUUGUAUUUAUAAUAAACUUUUAAAUUUGUCUAUACCUUUCAGUGCAUAUAUAUUUUUUUAAUUUGGGACAAUUACUUUAAAGCUGGUAGGGUAGCACUUAAAGUAGCACAGUCAAGUAACUAUUUUUUGACAAAUACUGGUCAAUGAGACGUCUUAAGCUCAAAUGUAAGCUUAAAGUACUACUUAUGAAUACAAUUAUUAUUAUUAUGAAUAUUAUUAUGAAUACAAUUUUUAAUAAAUUACGUUAAUUGGACCCAAUAAAGUGGUUGCCUGUGUAAACAUCCCUAGGGACGCCGGUCCAAGAAGUGACGAAACACGCCAGGAGAGUGAAAACGCGACUUCUAUAUAUAAAAGAAAAAAUUAAAAUAAAUUUGUUUUCCUGUUAUAAAUAGAAAUGUUAGUGUUUACGUAAGAUUAUCUUAAUAGUAGAAUGAAUAAUCUAAUUAAUGCAAUACAAAAAAUAUUAAAAUAAUUAAAAAUGUAUUAUUUUUUAUGCUUGUAAUAGGAAUAUCAUUCUGUAUAACGCAGGUCACUUCUGACUCACAAAAUGCAUUUUCGGCGUCAAUCUUUUGUUCCGAUUUGUAUACUUUUUUGCUAGUUUAAAAAUAGAAAUUACAAAGCCGGGAACACUCAUCAGUAAGUUCGCACUAAAAAAAACCACGCACACAAACGCGUCCAAUUCAAAUGUGAAGAAGUCUAUCUCGCUUUGUUGAGAAUUGUAUA